rnacentral:rRNA from 1 species
GGCCAGCAGCCGCGGUAAUUCCAGCUUCAAUAGUGUAUAUUAAAGUUGUUGUGGUUAAAAAGCUCGUAGUUGAGAAGCUGCCAACACAGACUUGUCCACUUUUUGGGUGAGCACCUAGUUUGCUGGGGCACAUUAUUGGAUAACCAUGUCUGCACUUGACUGUGCGGUGUGGUGCCCAAAACGUUUACUUUGAGGAACGUAGCGUGUUUCAUGCAGGCGAAUGCCUUGAAUUUUCCAGCAUGGGAUAAUGAGGUCAAGCGUCUGCUCCAUCCUGCUGGUUCCUGAAGCAGUUGCAGAGAUGAACAGGGAUACUUGGGGGCAUACAAAUUCAACUGUCAGAGGUGAAAUUCUUGGAUUUGUUGACGAUGACCUUCUGUGAAAGCAUUUGCCAUGCAUGUUUUCAUUGAUCAAGAAUGAAAGUUAGGGGAUCGAAGAUGAUUAGAUACCGUCUUAGUCUUAACCAUAAACUAUGCCAACUUGAGAUUGGAGGCUGUUUUGUUUUGCAACGACUUCUGCAGAACCUUAUGAGAAGUCAAAGUCUUUGGGCUCUGGGGGGAGUAUGGUUGCAAGGCUGAAACUUAAAGGAAUUGACGGAAGGGCACCACCAGAAGUGGAGCCUGCGGCUUAAUUUGACUCAACACGGGGAACCUUACCAGGCCCAGACACAGCAAGGAUUGACAGUUUGAUGGCUCCUUCUUGAUUAUGUGGGUGGUGGUGCAUGGCUGUUCUUAGUUGGUGGAGUGAUUUGUCUGGUUAAUUCCGUUAACGAACGAGACCUCAACCUGCUAAAUCGUUUCAUGUGGCUUCUGUUGCAGAGUCGCUUCUUAGAGGGACUGUUCGUGCCUAGCGAGAGGAAGUUUGGGGCAUAACAGGUCUGUGAUGCCCC